GUAGCUCCAAGAGAGGCUCGACUCGCGAGAGUUUUCUGAAGAUUUUCGUAGGCGAUACCCGUUGCGAUAACGGCACCGCGGCCAACGAUAACGACAAACUCUCGUUCGCCCGUUCAGCUGCACGUGUCGUGAUGUCACGAAUUUCUGUCUCCUACGAUUCGUCGCGCUUAUUUUCGCGAAGGCGCCGUUCAGGCCGCGACUACCAGGAAGUUGCUCGGAUGCACCGUUAGCCGACAGUGUAGCAUCAUCGAUUGCGAGAUACGCAAAUAUAAGUCGUACGGUCUCGCACCAAACGACGCGACGCCCGCAGUGCUCGAGAGCCGGUGUGUGUCGAAAGAUUGAUAGCACCAGCAAUCGCCACGUAGCCGCGCGUCGCCGUCGUAGUCGUAAAAACGCGCGAGGCAUUGUUUCGCGCCUCGACACACUCGUAACUUUAUUGCGCGCGUGACGGUUUUGCGAAAGACCUCGUAUCGCCGUGAAGAGCGGAUUAAAGGAGAGAAUAGAAAAGAAGAAGAACUCACAGGAAGAGAAGGAGAAGAAAAGCUGGCGCGACGACGGGGGAAAAUUGACAUAAUUGAAGUCACUGAUGUAACGUUCGCGCGAGCGACUUCAGCUCAUUGCUCGAAGUCGGUUGGAAACACACUAGGGGUGCGUGUUGAGGGUCACGCAUGGAACGGUACAACCGCUGCCAACGGUCACGUGCCAAAACACCGGCAACCACCAUCUGCCACAUAUACACACACAUAGGUCGGUGUAUAGAUAUAAUGAACCAGGUGCGACCUGCCGCUUUAGAUGUCGCUGCAAGCAGUAGCAUGUUCAGCAACACGCGCCUGCAGCGGAUGCAACCAGCGCAACGGUACGUCAGCGAGAUUGCAGUGGCAACGGAUGCACGCACACUUGGAAAUUGAAGAUUGAUCUUGAUUAAGCGGAUAGCACACAGAAGAACGUAAGCAAUAAGACUGAAUCAGUAAGAAAAUAUUCCAAUCGAAAUCGAUUAUUCUUGAAAGAAAAAUUAUUGAAAACUGUGGUGAUCAAUUUAUACUUAUUACUUAAAUCUUAUUGGUUACGUUCUUUUGCGUAUUCGCGAUUUU